GGGGGCGUGGUGAAGCGGUAUCAUGGGAAUCUCCAAAAUUCCAGUCGGGGGUUCGAUUCCCUCCGCCCCUG
rnacentral:tRNA from 2 species